GCCAUUUUGUUUGUUUACGGAAACGUGACGAAAGCUUAGACCUUGAACAAAAUCACGUUAUAUAUAUAUAUAUAUUGCGACAUUUAAUUUCCCCACUCACGGAAUACCAUCGACAAACUGGGAUCAGAAUAUCAAAUUUCGUCUAGCUUUUGGCGACUUAUGAUACCCCUUUCACCGGCAAACACUGAAUUAUCGGACAACAUGAAAUCAGGGACUAAAUUCACCAGCAUUCAUGAUCCUCGGACCACCCGCCCCCUACGCACAGCCGAUUUAUAAAUGUUGCAUCUUUCAAUCAGUGUCAAUCCGGAAGAAGAACCCUGAUCAGCUCCUGGAAAAAUCAGUGUUCUUGCAGUAUUGUCAGUCAAAUCUCAAGGAAAGGAUCCCAGAAGAGGAACAUUUACAUUAUUUCAGACUUUUUUCUUUACUGUGUAACAAUGCCUCAAACAGCUAACACAUUUUAUAUAUAGUAUACAAUACAAUGUGUAUUAAUAACAGUCCAGUUAGAGUGCUGUGUUAUGCGGUAAAAAUACUUAAUUCUUGAUGACAUGUUGGUUUUAUGUUUACAUUAAACGGUAGUUAUAAUAUAUACUAGAGAAACAAAGUGGAUAAUGCCUUGUACAGGAGCAGGAGUAUGACAGUGUAAUAGUACAUGACUGCUGCGUUCAUCCAUGGAAGGAAUCUGUUAUUCAAAAUAAAGUUUUCCAUAAGGAAAAAAAUAGUGCUUUUGUUAGUCUUUCAAGAAAAUGUGCAAAGUGAAAGGAGAUUUCUGUGAUGUUUUAUGAAUAGUAAUUCAUUGGUCUAGAAGACAUGUAUUUAAUAAGUAUAUUUCUGGAUAAAAAAACAUUCUGAAGCAAAAUCUUUUUAUAUUUUUCUGUACCUUUUCCAUACUUUUUCUGUAACUUUUCUAUACCUUUUUUGUACCUUUUCAGUACC